CACAAAUCCUGCAUCAUACACACAAACAGAUUCAUGUUUUUAACUCCGUGCUGCUGAUAUUCUGCCUAAUGUAGUCUUCAAACAAUAGCACAUGGGCUAUAGGUAUAAUAAAGGCCAAAGGGUGGGGCGUUUCUCUCUCAGAUAAGGCAAUUCCACAUUUUGCCACUGGCAGUCAGCAUCAAUAAAAUACUGUACUGUUACUAUAGUGAACACUUGCUACCCAUUACCUGUCUGUAUGAAAUGGUAAAUGGGCUGCACUUAUAUAACCCCUUUUUUAACCUUAGCAGUUUUACAAAAGCACUUUACACCGUUUGUCAUUCACCCAUUCACACACACACACACACACACACACACACUCAAGGCUCUAGCCUGCCCUCGGGAGCAACUUGGGGUUCAGUGUCUCACCCAAGGACACUUAGGCAUGUGGGCUGGGGAUUGAACUGCCCACCCUGCGAUUAGUGGAGGACAUAAGAACCCCCAUCUUCAAUUCAAAAAGAGGUCAAAAACUGAGCAACAUGCCAGAAGACACUGAAGAAUUCUCCGCUGAGGGUCUGUUACAACAGUUUCCAGAAGACAACCCAGCUUUGCUACAGAACUAUCAAGAGCUUCAGGUGGUUCAACUGUCAUGUCCAAAACUGUCAAUCACCUCAUCAACCGCACCUUUUUAAUUGAUCCAUCAUCAAAUAACUGAGUUUUUCCCUUGCCACAGUCACCUCUGACUUGCUCAUUAAGGAUAAAUUCAUACAUUUCAAAUCUAGAUUUAUAUAUUUCUGUAUGUCACGUUAAGCAGAUGAGAGAGGGAUGCGAAUGCAGUCUCCGCUUAAAGUUUAAAUUAAACCAUAAACACAAAACUAUGUAACGCCUGGCGAAAUACAAUGACUAGGAAACACAAACAUGAAUACAAUAAACGAGACAAUAAGCAUAGAAAAUGCAUUUAUUGUAAGAAAAACUAUUGGGGGAGAUAAAGGUCAUCUGGACUUGUUAAAACGACAGAAGCCUGUUCCUGAAAACAAUUAAUGGAGCUGCAACUUAAAAUGUAAUCUUACCAGAUUUCCCAUCGACUAUCCUGGGAAUAGGUGGAGUUAAGAUUGUACUGCAUCCAGCCACUAGAAGGCGUCAGAGACAUUUUGGCUUCACUUUUUAAUCCCUGUUACAAUGUACCUACAGACACUAUUUAUUUAUAGUUUUAGACACUACAAAAACUGCUCCUACAUUUCGACAUGAACAGAUGACCCACGGCUAAAAUGUUAACUAAUGCCGAACACUACAUUCUUUAACAGAUUUUUGUUAUUUUCAUUUUUUUUUUUUUUUAAACCCACUGAUUUUCUCUUUCAGUGUGCGUUGUGCCGGUUCAGCAUUUGCUGUCUCAUCCAGACUCAUUUAUUAUUUAUUCGAGGGCCACGUUUUAUGGCUGAAUCGCUGUUGCGCGGUAUAUUUCACCUCCGGAGGAAAACCCGAGGCAGUGCUGACAGUCCGGGAGUUUUUUUUACUCAUAUUAGAGGAUAUAAUUCAGUUGAUCAUGGGAACAUUAAAAAGGACAGGAUCAGAUUGGUCACGCUUUAGUCUAAAGGAAAGACAUGCAGUCAAAAGAGGCCGUCAGUUAGGCAAGGGGCGCAAGUAGUGACUACUGGUUUAUAUCGAGAAGAUACUUUAACAGUAGAAAUAUACAACAGAAGUGAGUUUACGCAACAUGGAGGAACAUCUAAUAAAAUGCUCUGUGUACGAAUCACUUGUGUGCUCAAUUGAUCUAUAAGACAUGCAGACAAUCUAAGUAGUAGAACUUGAUAGGAGGAUUGGAGGGGUGAUCAACAAGGACCGAGUAUGUUAAGAAAUAUAUUGCUUACGGAUCCUGAGGUAUUACUGUGUGUUUAUUAAUGAAGAGUGACGUUCACGCUUUAUUGAUAGUUUAGCCAUGUUUAUAAAUGCAAUCUUAGAUAUUAUGCAUGCAUUUCAGCCGUGUGUGUGUGUGUGUGUGUGUGUGUGAGAGAGAGAGAGAGAGAGAGAGAGAGAGAGAGAGAGAGAGAGAGAGAGUGUGUGUGUGUGUGUGUGUGUGAGAGAGAGAGAGAGAGAGAGAGAGUGUGUGUGUGUGUGUGUGUGUGUGUCCGCCCAUGCGAUAGACUGGUGUACCCUCCGGUGUGUAUUCCUGCUUUGUGGUCAGAGUUUCUGACACAGGCUCCGGGUCACUGCGACUCCGCCCAGGACAAAACACUCCCUUUAAAUGAAAGAAUUAGGAAAUAAUCUCAGGUUAGAUUCCGCCCUCGUGUUUAAAUGUAGUGGGGAAUUUUUUUUUUUUUUUAAAUCAACAAUAUUCUACAUAGACCACAUUCUUUACUCACUAAUGUUUUCUUUAAGCCAAGCAUAACUUUCUUUGCGACACUUCAGUUCAGGUUUCCCGAAACACAAACUCGAGUCGUGUAGAUGGAACCACAUGCACACACAAUCCCGGAAAUUAAUUCCCAGGGUCUUAUUUAAGGCACGAACGAGCCACCUACAGCCAGCUACUAAUUAACAGCACGGUUGCCGUUACAGCAUGUAGAGCAUGUGGCUCAAAUAGGCAGUUGCCAUGGCAAUACAGUCAUAACACACAAACAAUUUCAACGCCAUUGCAAAGCUUUGACAGCUCUGUUUAUUUUUAUUUUUUUAAAACAAGAGGUAUUGCAGCCGUUAAAAAUAGAGUCAUCACUUGAAUGUCUCCCAACUCUUGGUUUCGUGCUUCAGCUGCAGACAAUACAGAAACACGUGCUCCGAUCACAUCACCACCGACAUUCAACAACAGAACCAUGUCCGAAUGAGAUUUUCCACCGACAGGACCAGUAACUGCCCGUUUUCAUCGUAUUUGUCCAAUCAGGAGUGUGCUUUCCCCUUCUCAUUAUGGCCUCAAUGACUAUUUUACGGCAUUUAUGUUUACAUCUCAAUUUUAUUUCUGUAAAAGGAAAUGAGUUUGUUAUGAAAUUUCUUAACGUUGUUCUUUAUUUAUUUUUAAAAAUCAAUACAGCGACUUUUCCAGCUGGGCCAAACAUCAACAAAACCCAGCAGCCAAGAUCAAUAAUUAUGUGUGUCCACAUUCUAAUGGUUCUGUGGCAUCCUUACAACCUACACUUAGGCAUGAUGGAGAGAGAUGCACUCACAUUCUCAUAAAAAUGUCAACAGGACAACCUUUUUGACGAUGGCACAGAGUGCACGUAUGUAAGAGUUAUGGCUAUAGUCGAAGACCAUGGGUUCUGAUCCUGAAAAAAGAGCAGCGUGUACGCCAGGAACACGAAGUCCCCCAAUCUCCAUCAAUCUGCUGGUGGCAUAUUUAGCACGGAAUUUUAAUGCUUCUCUGAGCCGAGUAAAGAAUGGAAAACCGUUCAGACAUUCGAAGGGUAAUUAUAAUAAACAGCAAUCUAAGGGCAGUUGUUGAAUUCCUUCAAUAAAGGGAUACAAUAUAAGACUAUACGGGUGCGUCUAUAAAAACAAUCUGAAUAUCGUGGAAAAGUUAUUCCCCUCCCGUAACGCAAAUGAAAAAGUGGAACUUUCAUACAGUCUAGAUUCAUUACACAUAAAAUGAAACAUUUCAAGCCUUUUUUUUGUUGUUUUAAUCUUGAAGAUAACAAUUUACAACAGUGUGUGUGUGUGUGUGUGUGUGUGUACGUGUACACUGCACCAGACUGAGAUUAAAGGCUCAGGAAACCUUCGCUGAUGAAAGCUCUUCUCAGGUCGACAUUUCUGUAUUAUAAAUUCUUUAUUCUGAUAUUUUGAGAUACUGGAUUUUUUCCCCGUGAGCCGUAAACCAUAAUCGAGAUUAAAACAAACAAACAAAAAAGGCUUGAAAUAUUUAACUUUAAUAUUGAACUAGAAUAUAUAAAAGUUCCACUUUUUGAAGUAAAUUACAGGAAAAAAACGGGACUUUUCCACGAUAUUCUCGUUUUGUGAGCUGCCCCUGAACAACACAACCAAAACUACACCGUCGCGCUCAUCAGCAACAGUUUCAGAGUAAAACAGACGUGCGAGAAUCUUAACCUGGAAAGAAUUUUGUGGCAUCUGUUCACCAUCACACACACACACACACACAUACACACACACACACACACACACACACACAGUAACCACAAAUCUGUUCCUCUGUUAAACGGUCACAAAAAUAAAAUAAAAAAAGAAAAAAAAAAAGAAUGAUCCAGAUUAUUGUGGCAUUUAACACCUUUGAUUUAAAAAUCCACGAAUUUUUUGCACAAAAGUAUUUAUGGAAUUUAACUCAUGCAUAUACACAGUGGUGCUUGAAAGUUUGUCAACCCUUUAAAAUGUUCCAGAUUUCUGUAUAAAUAGGACCUAAAACAUCAGAUUUUCACACGAGUCCUAAAAGUUGAAAAAGAACCCAAUCAAACAAAAGAAACAAAAUUAUUAUACUGUGUCAUUUAUUUAUUGAGGAAAAUGAUCCAAUAUUACACGUCUGUGAGUGGGAGAAGUAUGUGCACCUCUAGGAUUAGCAGUUCAUCUGAAGGUGAAAUUAGAGUCAGGUGUUUUCAAUCUUUGGGAUGAUAAUCAGGUGUGAGUGAGCGCCCGGUUUUAUUUAAAGAACAGGGAUCUAUCAGAGUCUGAUCUUCACAGCACGUUUGUGGAAGUGUAUCAUGGCACGAACAAUGGAGAUUUCUGAGGACCUCACAGAAAGA
ensembl:lncRNA